rnacentral:rRNA from 1 species
GGAGGGUGCGAGCGUUAAUCGGAAUUACUGGGCGUAAAGCGCGCGUAGGCGGCUUGGUCAGUCGGAUGUGAAAGCCCCGGGCUUAACCUGGGAAUUGCAUUCGAUACUGCCAGACUAGAGUAUGGGAGAGGGAAGCGGAAUUUCCGGUGUAGCGGUGAAAUGCGUAGAUAUCGGAAGGAACACCAGUGGCGAAGGCGGCUUCCUGGCCCAAUACUGACGCUGAGGUGCGAAAGCGUGGGGAGCGAACAGGGAUUAGAUACCCUGGUAGUCCACGCCGUAAACGAUGAGAACUAGAUGUCGGGAGGAUUUGCCUCUCGGUGUCGCAGCUAACGCGUUAAGUUCUCCGCCUGGGGAGUACGCCGGCAACGGUA